rnacentral:rRNA from 1 species
CCUACGGGUGGCAGCAGUGAGGAAUAUUGGUCAAUGGGCGGAAGCCUGAACCAGCCAAGUAGCGUGCGGGAUGAAGGCCCUACGGGUCGUAAACCGCUUUUGCACGGGGAUAACACCCUCCACUUGUGGAGGUCUGCAGGUACCGUGCGAAUAAGGGCCGGCUAAUUCCGUGCCAGCAGCCGCGGUAAUACGGAAGGCCCGAGCGUUAUCCGGAUUCAUUGGGUUUAAAGGGUGCGCAGGCGGAGGUGCAAGUCAGCGGUCAAAUUGCGGGGCUCAACCCCGUACUGCCGUUGAAACUGCAUCCCUUGAGUGCGCGAGAAGUAUGCGGAAUGCGUGGUGUAGCGGUGAAAUGCAUAGAUAUCACGCAGAACUCCGAUUGCGAAGGCAGCAUACCGGCGCGCAACUGACGCUCAUGCACGAAAGCGUGGGUAUCGAACAGGAUUAGAUACCCGAGUAGUC